UGUAAUUGCUCAGGUGUGUUUAAUUGCCUUCUUAAUGCAGGUAUAAGAGAGCUCUGAGCACCUGGUGUUUCCUCCAGUCUUUCCAUCAGCUUUGGAAACUCUUAUUGCUGUUUUUCAACAUGAGGACCAAAGUUGUGCCAAUGAAAGUCAAAGAAGCCAUUAUGAGAUUGAGAAACAAGAAUAAACUUUUUAGAGACAUCAGCCAAACCUAGGGCUUACCAAAUCAACUGUUUGGAAC